GUGAACAACCAAGGGCGCGCGGUGGAUGCCUAGGCUCUCGGAGGCGAUGAAGGACGCGAUAAGCCGCGAUAGGCCACGGCGAGGUGCAAGUAACCCUUGACCCGUGGAUUUCCGAAUGGGGCAACCCGGCCGUCUAGAUGACGGUCAUACCGUAAGGUAAGCGAACGCGGGGAACUGAAACAUCUCAUUACCCGCAGGAGAAGAAAACAAAUAGUGAUUCCCCCAGUAGUGGCGAGCGAACGGGGAAGAGCCCAAACCGCUGCCGUUUCGGCGACAGCGGGGUCAUGGGACCGCGACAUUCGACGUGAGACGAAGUGCAAUUACCUGGAAAGGUAAGCCGUGGAGGGUGACAGCCCCGUGCACGACACCUCUUUCGAAGAUAGCGGAAUCCCGAGUAGGGCGGGACACGAGAAAUCCUGUCUGAAUUCGCCAGGACCGCCUGGCAAGGCUAAAUACUCCCGAGAGACCGAUAGUGAACCAGUACCGCGAGGGAAAGGUGAAAAGUACCCCGAGCAGGGGGGUGAAAUAGACCCUGAACCCGCGCGCCUACAAGCGGUCGGAGCCAUGAAAUAUGGUGACGGCGUGCCUUUUGCAUAAUGAGCCUACGAGUUAGUCGUCACCAGCGAGGUUAAGGGCUUCAGGCCCGUUAGCCGAAGUGAAAGCGAGCCUUAACAGGGCGUCGAGUUGGUGGCGCUAGACGCGAAACCUUGUGAUCUACCCACGAGCAGGUUGAAGUCGCGGUAACACGUGAUGGAGGACCGAACCGGUAAACGUUGAAAAGUUUUCGGAUGACUCGCGGGUAGGGGUGAAAGGCCAAUCAAACUGGGAAAUAGCUCGUACUCUCCGAAAUGCAUUUCGGUGCAGCCUGUGAUGUUCUGUUCCAGAGGUAGAGCUACUGGUUGGACGCGAGGGCUUCACCGCCUAUCAAAUCCGGAUAAACUCCGAAUGCUGGAACACGAAAUCAUGGAGUGAGCCCGCGGGUGCUAAGGUCCGCGGACGAGAGGGAAAGAACCCGGACCACCGGCUAAGGUCCCGGAUGGACAGUUAAGUUGAUCAAACGAGGUGGGAUCGCGGAGACAGCUAGGAUGUUGGCUUGGAAGCAGCCAUUCAUUUAAAGAGUGCGUAACAGCUCACUAGUCGAGCGAUCCCGCGUGGAUAAUACACGGGCAUCAAACUGUCAACCGAAGCCGUGGGGUUAGUUAAUGACUAACCGGUAGGAGAGCAUUCCUGCCAGCUUAGAAGGUCACCCGCGAGAGUGACUGGAGCGGCAUGAAAAGCAAAUGUAGGCAUAAGUAACGAUAAUGGGGGCGAGAACCCCCCACGCCGCAAGACCAAGGAUUCCCCGGCAAUGUCAAUCAGCCGGGGGUCAGCCGGCCUCUAAGGCUCACCCGAGGGGGGAUGCCGACGAGAAACGGGUUAACAUUCCCGUGCUUCUCGUCACCGUGACGCGGUGACGGGGUGAUGAAUGGACCGCGCGCUGACGGAAUAGCGCGUUGAAGGCCGUACCCGAUGACGGUGGUAGUCAAGCACGCCACCGGAGGCGAGAGCCGAUAGUACCACGAGACUCCGGUCGAGUGGAUAGCGUCCAGGCAAUUUACCCCCUAGAAAACCCGCUAAACUUCAAGUGACGAGGAACCGUACUGUAAACGGACACACGUGGUCGGGUAGAACAUACCAAGGCGCUCGAGUGAUUCAUGGUCAAGGAACUAGGCAAAAUAGUCCUGUAACUUCGGGAAAAAGGACGCUCUAGUGAUAGAGCCGCAGAGUAAUGGCCCAGGCGACUGUUUACCAAAAACACAUGGCUAUGCCAAAUCGAAAGAUGACGUAUAUGGCCUGACACCUGCCCGGUGCCGGAAGGUUAAGAGGAGAGCUCAUCGGAAACGAGAAGGUUUGAAUUGAAGCCCCGGUAAACGGCGGCCGUAACUAUAACGGUCCUAAGGUAGCGAAAUUCCUUGUCGGGUAAGUUCCGACCCGCACGAAAGG
rnacentral:rRNA from 1 species